rnacentral:rRNA from 1 species
AACGAACGCUGGCGGCAGGCUUAACACAUGCAAGUCGAGCGCAUCCUUCGGGGUGAGCGGCGGACGGGUUAGUAACGCGUGGGAACGUGCCCUCUUCUACGGAAUAGCCCAGGGAAACUUGGAUUAAUGCCGUAUACGCCCUUCGGGGGAAAGAUUUAUCGGAGGAGGAUCGGCCCGCGUUGGAUUAGGUGGUUGGUGGGGUAAUGGCCUACCAAGCCGACGAUCCAUAGCUGGUUUGAGAGGAUGAUCAGCAACACUGGGACUGAGACACGGCCCAGACUCCUACGGGAGGCAGCAGUGGGGAAUUUUGGACAAUGGGGGCAACCCUGAUCCAGCCAUGCCGCGUGAUCGAUGAAGGCCUUAGGGUUGUAAAGAGCUUUCAGCUGGGAAGAUAAUGACGGUACCAGCAGAAGAAGCCCCGGCUAACUCCGUGCCAGCCGCCGCCGUAACAC